CCGAUAUAUGUAUUUCAAAACACGUAUACUGCUUUAUGUUUUGCAAAAAAAAUACAAUACAAUAUGAACAAUGCAAACACAUAUAUAACUCAUGAUUAACCUUCUAUUUAUCUUCGUUACUGCAACUGCAAUGACUCGAAGUUGCAAAAAUCAUUUUAUCUGCGCUAUUCCUCAACACAGCAGCUUCGUCAAUACAGGGUAGCUAUCUAGGCACACAUUCAUUCUGGUCAAUUAUUUUGGAGGCAACUUACUGAAUAGUCAGAGACAUGCAAUAUAUGUGCCAUUGUGCAGCCUCCAACUCCUCCCACAGAAUAUAUUAUCAUCUCAAGCUGACUUGUCAUCUGUGUGGCAAUAGUGGUUAAUGUUGGGAUGGCACAUAAUUAAACUAAGAAGCCCACUUCGGUCAUUUUAUAUUUAAUCCAUUUCCUGUGUGCUCCGAACCAUGUGUAUUUUAAAUACUUAAGGAAUAUAUUAAUACAAAUUGUUGCAUUAGAACCAUAGGAUUGUCUAUCUUAUAGUAUUUAGAAAGUUUAGAACACAUAAAGAUGGUGCGCGGACCAAAACUUCAAUUUCCAUGCAAAGUAUAAUGACAACAUGGCAUUCUAUUAUUUUUGUGUGUGAGUGCAAUUAAGAUAAUUAAUGCUGAUUAUGCUUGGUUGUAAAGCAAAGCCACAACCGGUACCACAAGGGCAUUGGAGAAAUGAACGUGACUGCUUAUUUGGUUAUUCCACAUGCUCUCGCAUCCAAUUCCAACUCCUAUAAAUACCAUCUUUGGCAAUUCUAAUUUCACAAAUUAAGCAUUUCUUAGUAGCCAAGUCUAAUAAUUAGUAAACAUUUUUCCAAUAUUAGUUUGUUGUUUUGCAGAGAAUAACAUGUCUUCCAUUGGGGCACGUUCAGCUGAAAUUUAUGUUAUGGAGAAGAGGCAGAAAGAGAAGUUGAAGAGAAUGGAAGAGGAAAGAGUACGAAGAGGUGAGGUGAGUACUGAAGAGAGAAAGGAGAUUAGUUCUAGUGUGGGAAAGAACAAGGUGCAUCCAGGUAGUGAACAAGGAGUCACAUCCGAUAAUGUCUUUAGGGCGUAAUGUAGGAUAAUAAUAACUCCCCAAAACUAUAGUUUUUCACAUGCCCACCACCAUUACCUUUUGUUUUUGUUCUAUAACUCUACAUGUUUUGUGUGAUUAAGUUUUAAAUGUUUGUUUGAAUAGCUCCCCUAAGCUCACCGAAAAAGAAAACCUUGUUAAUUUAGUUAUUAUAUAGAAGUGAUAAUAGACUGUUAAUGUUAUUAAUGGCGUGGGCUUUUAAAUUAGCCGUUUGUAACAUGUCUCAAUAUUGAAUGUGUUAUGUCAAAAGAGUGCUUUGCCGCUUUGUAUCUACGAUCAGAAUAAAAGCGUCUUCGUGCAUAUGUUUUCCAAAUCUA